GUUAGAGUAGGAAGACAAUGGGUUCCAUCCUGGCUACCAUUCAACCAUUUGGGAGCAAAGUGGAAGAACCAGACUCAUGAACUUGUAUCCUCUGGCAUGUUCUCCCUCUGCUAUGCAAGUCUCCCUUCCAAAUUUUUUUUUUUUUUUGUCUGUUUUCAUGCUGCUGAUAAAGACAUUCCUGAGACUGGGCAAUUUACACAGGAAAGAGGUUUAAUGGAGAACUCAC
rnacentral:lncRNA from 1 species